AAGAAUGGUGUCACAUCCCUCCAACAGAGUUCCAGACAGUUGUAGAAUGUAUUCCAAGGCACAUUGUAAGAGCUGUUAAGAGAGAGGGAGUGGGAGAGAGAACAGGCAGAACCUGAUAUGUAAAUGAGCAGAGCAAAUGAAAGUAACUUUCUUCGACCGAAUGAUCAUUCAGACUCUGUUUCUAUUGAGAGAUAAAAGGCUGGUUGAAUGUGUUGCCUGUGAAAGCUACUUCAUCUGCAAGAAAACAGGCGGCUGCACCAGUGACUGGGUCAGUGCUCCAAAAUGAGUCUCUCUGGGGAGAGAGAGGAGGGGGGCCCUGCCUCUAAAAUGAGUCUCUCUGGGGAACAUGACACCAAAGCUAAGAGGUGAGAUGACAAUUUUGUGUAAGAAUUAUUAAAGAGUUUAUUUCAAAAAUGCUAUUUCCAAAAAUAUUCACAUUUGUUUUUUAAUCAGAAAUGGUUUCUUAUGGGUACCUUCAAUAUUACUGUUCUCAGAUUUUUAAUUAAUAGUUUUUAGAUGUGUAUCAUUUUAAUUUUUUUUAUAGCAAAACGCUAUAUAUCCACCUAGAUAUCUAUAUAUCCGCCUAGAUAUCUAUAUAUCCACCUAGAUAUCUAUAUAUCCACCUAGAUAUCUAUAUAUCCACCUAGAUAUCUUUAUAUCCAUUGUUUAGCUGGAAUGGAAUAUUUGUAUUCUGCAUAUUUAACAAUGAUAUGUGGUUGUCUCACCUAGCUAUCUAAAGAUGAAUGCACUUACUGUAAAUCCCUCUGGAUAAGAGCAUCUGCUAAAUCAGGGGUUCUCAAUCGGGGUCUGUGGAGGUACUGCAGGGGCUCCACGGCACCCUGACUGUACUCGUUGCCAUGUAAGACAUUUGAUAGAAUUUUCACAUGACACGACCACUUUGCCUACUCUUAAUUAUUGCCUAAUAUAAUGGAAUACAUAUUUUUUUUACAAUUUCUGAUCGUUGUUACAAGCAGAAUUUUGACAAUAUUACCGUUAUA